rnacentral:rRNA from 1 species
GACGAACGCUGGCGGCGUGCUUAACACAUGCAAGUCGAACGCUGAAGCUCAGCUUUUGUUGGGUGGAUGAGUGACGAACGGGUGAGUAACACGUGAGUAACCUGCCUCCUUCUUUGGGAUAACGCCCGGAAACGGGUGCUAAUACUGGAUAUUCACUGGUCUUCGCAUGGGGGUUGGUGGAAAGGGUUUUUCUGGUGGGGGAUGGGCUCGCGGCCUAUCAGCUUGUUGGUGGGGUGAUGGCCUACCAAGGCUUUGACGGGUAGCCGGCCUGAGAGGGUGACCGGUCACGUUGGGACUGAGAUACGGCCCAGACUCCUACGGGAGGCAGCAGUGGGGAAUAUUGCACAAUGGGCGCAAGCCUGAUGCAGCGACGCCGCGUGAGGGAUGGAGGCCUUCGGGUUGUGAACCUCUUUCGCUCAUGGUCAAGCCGCAACAAUGGUUGUGGUGAGGGUAGUGGGUAAAGAAGCGCCGGCUAACUACGUG